UGUCGGGUCCGCUAAUACUGGGGGAUAAAGGGAUAGGAGUGAUUUGCAGCAGUUUGAAGUUGCAGUAGCAAGUAGCAAUGGAUAUCGGCCUA
rnacentral:SRP_RNA from 14 species